rfam:Pristionchus pacificus strain PS312 contig11511, whole genome shotgun sequence.
UCUUCAUUUCACGUGCUCUCUCGCCGGCCAGAAUGACGAGAGAGUACGUGAAAUGAAGAGA